UUGAAGAGUUUGAUCAUGGCUCAGAUUGAACGCUGGCGGCAGGCCUAACACAUGCAAGUCGAACGGUAACAGGAAGCAGCUUGCUGCUUCGCUGACGAGUGGCGGACGGGUGAGUAAUGUCUGGGAAACUGCCUGAUGGAGGGGGAUAACUACUGGAAACGGUAGCUAAUACCGCAUAACGUCGCAAGACCAAAGAGGGGGACCUUCGGGCCUCUUGCCAUCGGAUGUGCCCAGAUGGGAUUAGCUUGUUGGUGGGGUAACGGCUCACCAAGGCGACGAUCCCUAGCUGGUCUGAGAGGAUGACCAGCCACACUGGAACUGAGACACGGUCCAGACUCCUACGGGAGGCAGCAGUGGGGAAUAUUGCACAAUGGGCGCAAGCCUGAUGCAGCCAUGCCGCGUGUAUGAAGAAGGCCUUCGGGUUGUAAAGUACUUUCAGCGGGGAGGAAGGGAGUAAAGUUAAUACCUUUACUCAUUGACGUUACCCGCAGAAGAAGCACCGGCUAACUCCGUGCCAGCAGCCGCGGUAAUACGGAGGGUGCAAGCGUUAAUCGGAAUUACUGGGCGUAAAGCGCACGCAGGCGGUUUGUUAAGUCAGAUGUGAAAUCCCCGGGCUCAACCUGGGAACUGCAUCUGAUACUGGCAAGCUUGAGUCUCGUAGAGGGGGGUAGAAUUCCAGGUGUAGCGGUGAAAUGCGUAGAGAUCUGGAGGAAUACCGGUGGCGAAGGCGGCCCCCUGGACGAAGACUGACGCUCAGGUGCGAAAGCGUGGGGAGCAAACAGGAUUAGAUACCCUGGUAGUCCACGCCGUAAACGAUGUCGACUUGGAGGUUGUGCCCUUGAGGCGUGGCUUCCGGAGCUAACGCGUUAAGUCUACCGCCUGGGGAGUACGGCCGCAAGGUUAAAACUCAAAUGAAUUGACGGGGGCCCGCACAAGCGGUGGAGCAUGUGGUUUAAUUCGAUGCAACGCGAAGAACCUUACCUGGUCUUGACAUCCACGGAAGUUUUCAGAGAUGAGAAUGUGCCUUCGGGAACCGUGAGACAGGUGCUGCAUGGCUGUCGUCAGCUCGUGUUGUGAAAUGUUGGGUUAAGUCCCGCAACGAGCGCAACCCUUAUCCUUUGUUGCCAGCGGUCCGGCCGGGAACUCAAAGGAGACUGCCAGUGAUAAACUGGAGGAAGGUGGGGAUGACGUCAAGUCAUCAUGGCCCUUACGACCAGGGCUACACACGUGCUACAAUGGCGCAUACAAAGAGAAGCGACCUCGCGAGAGCAAGCGGACCUCAUAAAGUGCGUCGUAGUCCGGAUUGGAGUCUGCAACUCGACUCCAUGAAGUCGGAAUCGCUAGUAAUCGUGGAUCAGAAUGCCACGGUGAAUACGUUCCCGGGCCUUGUACACACCGCCCGUCACACCAUGGGAGUGGGUUGCAAAAGAAGUAGGUAGCUUAACCUUCGGGAGGGCGCUUACCACUUUGUGAUUCAUGACUGGGGUGAAGUCGUAACAAGGUAACCGUAGGGGAACCUGCGGUUGGAUCACCUCCUU
rnacentral:rRNA from 1 species